UGGUUCUCCCCGAAAGCUAUUUAGGUAGCGCCUCGUGAAUUCAUCUCCGGGGGUAGAGCACUGUUUCGGCUAGGGGGCCAUCCCGGCUUACCAACCCGAUGCAAACUGCGAAUACCGGAGAAUGUUAUCACGGGAGACACACGGCGGGUGCUAACGUCCGUCGUGAAGAGGGAAACAACCCAGACCGCCAGCUAAGGUCCCAAAGUCAUGGUUAAGUGGGAAACGAUGUGGGAAGGCCCAGACAGCCAGGAUGUUGGCUUAGAAGCAGCCAUCAUUUAAAGAAAGCGUAAUAGCUCACUGGUCGAGUCGGCCUGCGCGGAAGAUGUAACGGGGCUAAACCAUGCACCGAAGCUGCGGCAGCGAACGUAUCACCCAAGACAACUUUACGGAGUUGACGAUUGACGGAGCGAAGCGACGUCAAAGCGUUCAUUAAAGUCGAGUUGGCUUAGGGAUACGUUCGUUGGGUAGGGGAGCGUUCUGUAAGCCUGUGAAGGUGUGUCGUGAGGC
rnacentral:rRNA from 1 species